UUCCACACAGUUGAAAUUAGGUCAAAGAGAAAAUCUAGAGCGGUCUGAGGGAGAAAAAAAUCCCUGGGCUGCAUCACGCAAACUGGGUUGAGGAGGACAACGCGUCCCUUGCCGUUUGCUCUGGUGAAGGCUGGUGCCUGUCACAUGUGCCUCAGACCUUUCUGCUCAGGGCAGCUGACUUCUGAGUCACCGUGGUUUAGGAGAGCGCUCUCAAACAUCAGGCUGCCUAACCACCAUCUGAUGGCUUCUUCGCACCGAGCCAGUUAGAAAUGCAAGAACAGCCGCAGGGCUGCUGGCUCUUCAUUAUUUUAAGAAAAUCUUUGCUCUGUUUUUGAUCAUGGCUGCAAAUUAACAACAGAUAUGAAAACCAAGCUGUUUCCUCCAAACAACGGCCUGAUCUUUGUUUGGGAAUGGGGCUAACCCUGGAGCAGCAGCAACUCAGCGGAGGAUGCCGGAGGGUCCCGGACCUGGAUACACCGUAGUUGGCGGUAGGUACUCAUGGAGUCUGAGGAAGCAAUGUUCUGAGAGAAGAGUGGGGGAAAGGAGCAGUCCGCACGCACGUGACAAGGAAAGACCUGGGCCACCAGCUGGAAACCCAGCUCCUCCCAGGUUUUGACACCAUCUGAUAAGUUAUUUCUCCACCCUAGAAAUAAGCCAAUUCAAACCGGAUUAAAAGUAAAACAAGGCAGGUUUAUUGGGAAACUGCUCUCGGGCAAAUUCAAUGGACCCAAGGACAGAAGCCAGGGAGAGGGAAAGGAAAAAAGAGAAAGGACAUGCAAACAGAGAAAGAAAAGAAGAGAGAGAAAGAGAGAGAGAAGACCAAAAUAUCUGGAUUUUAUUGGGAAGAGCCUCUCGAAGAAGGGCAGCCCAGUCCCUGGAUAGAAAGUUCAGGUUUGGGGAUAGGGUGUGCCAGGUAAGGACUAAGGGAUGCUGGGAGAGACUGGAGGCCUAGUCUGCUUUGAUAUGUAAAAUAUACACCUGGGGGCAGGGGGCUUGUCCCAGAGUCUGAAGGAAGAGUUUACGGCCAAAGUUGAUGGCCUAAGUUAGAUUCCUUACGAUUUACACUGUAAAGAAAGGUAACUCUCCUGGGUUCCGUCCCCAGCUCCGAGAAAAAAAAAAAAAAAAAAGGAAAGGUAACUCUCAAAAGUUGCCCUCUGGGGGCUGGGGAUUUAGCUCAGUGGUAGAGCGCUUACCUAGGAAGCGCAAGGCCCUGGGUUCGGUCCCCAGCUCUGAAAAAAAAAAGAACAAAAAAAAAAAAAAAAAAAAGUUGUCCUCUGACCUCCACACUUGCUAUGGCAUACAAGGUUUGGGCAUGUGACACACACACACACACACACACACACACACACACACACACACACACAAAUAUGUAAUAAAUGUGAUAAAACUUUUAAAUGCAAGCAAUGUUUCUAUGAAGAUAAUCAGUUCUUGAACUU